GACGAACGCUUGCGGCGUGCCUAAUACAUGCAAGUAGGACGCAGUUGCGAACGGGUGAGUAACGCGUAGGUAACUACCUAUUAGAGGGGGAUAACUAUUGGAAACGAUAGCUAAUACCGCAUACUAGUAGAUGGACCUGCGUUGUAUUAGCUAGUAGGUAGGGUAAUGGCCUACCUAGGCAACGAUACAUAGCCGACCUGAGAGGGUGAUCUGCCACACAGGGACUGGAAAAAGGACCAGACUCCUACGGGAGGGAGCAGGAGGGAAACUUCGGCAAUGGGGGGAACCCUGAACGAGCAACGCCGCGGGAGUGAAGAAGGUUGUCGGAUCGUAAAGCUCUGUUGUUAAGGAAGCGUUACUUAACCAGAAAGGGACGGCUAACUACGUGCCAGCAGCCGCGGUAAUUC
rnacentral:rRNA from 1 species